GACGAACGCUGGCGGCGUGCUUAACACAUGCAAGUCGAACGAAGUGGCGAACGGGUGAGUAACGCGUAAUCAACCUGCCCUUCAGAGGGGGACAACAGUUGGAAACGACUGCUAAUACCGCAUACUGAAGGAGGGGCUUGCGUCUGCUCAGUUAGUUGGAGGGGUAACGGGCCACCAAGGCGAUGAUCAGUAGCCGGUCUGGGGGGAUGGACGGGCAAAAUGGGAAUGAGGAACGGCCCAGACUCCUACGGGAGGCAGCAAUGGGGAAUCUGCCGCAAUGGAAGAAAGUCUGACGGAGCAACGCCGCGGGAGUGAUGACGGCCUUCGGGUUGUAAAGCUCUGUUAAUCGGGACGCGGUACCGGAAUAGAAAGCCACGGCUAACUACGUGCCAGCAGCCGCGGUAAUUC
rnacentral:rRNA from 1 species